rnacentral:rRNA from 1 species
GAUGAACGCUGGCGGCGUGCUUAACACAUGCAAGUCGAACGAUGAAGCUGGAGCUUGCUCUGGUGGAUUAGUGGCGAACGGGUGAGUAACACGUGAGCAACCUGCCUCUGACUCUGGGAUAACAGCCGGAAACGGCUGCUAAUACCGGAUAUGCACCAUGAACGCAUGUUCUGUGGUGGGAAAGAUUUUUCGGUUGGGGAUGGGCUCGCGGCCUAUCAGCUUGUUGGUGAGGUAAUGGCUCACCAAGGCGUCGACGGGUAGCCGGCCUGAGAGGGUGACCGGCCACACUGGGACUGAGACACGGCCCAGACUCCUACGGGAGGCAGCAGUGGGGAAUAUUGCACAAUGGGCGAAAGCCUGAUGCAGCAACGCCGCGUGAGGGAUGACGGCCUUCGGGUUGUAAACCUCUUUUAGCAGGGAAGAAGCGAGAGUGACGGUACCUGCAGAAAAAGCGCCGGCUAACUACGUG